GGCAAGAUGGCCGAGUGGUCUAAGGCGCUGCGUUUAGGCCGCAGUCUCUUCGGAGGCGUGGGUUCGACCCCCACUCUUGUCA
rnacentral:tRNA from 1 species